rnacentral:rRNA from 1 species
CAAGUCGAGUGGGUUCAGACCCACGGCAGACGGCUGCGUAACACGUUGGAACCUUCCCCGAACUCAGGAAUAACCCCGCGAAAGCGGGGCUAAUACCGGAUAGUCCCGAAAGGGUAAAGAUUUUUCGGUUCGGGAGGGGCCUGCGGCCUAUCAGUUAGUUGGUGAGGUAACGGCUCACCAAGACAAUGACGGGUAGCUGAUCUGAGAGGAUGAUCAGCCAGAAUGGAACUGCGACACGGUCCAU